rnacentral:rRNA from 1 species
GACGAACGCUGGCGGCGUGCUUAACACAUGCAAGUCGAACGGAAAGGCCCUGCUUUUGUGGGGUGCUCGAGUGGCGAACGGUUGAGUAACCCGUGAGUAACCUGCCCUUGACUUUGGAAUAACUUCAGAAAACUGGGGCUAAUACCGGAUAGAAGCUCCUGCUGCAUGGUGGGGGUUGGAAAGUUUCGGCGGUUGGGGAUGGACUCGCGGCUUAUCAGCUUGUUGGUGGGGUAGUGGCUUACCAAGGCUUUGACGGGUAGCCGGCCUGAGAGGGUGACCGGCCACAUUGGGACUGAGAUACGGCCCAGACUCCUACGGGAGGCAGCAGUGGGGAAUAUUGCACAAUGGGCGGAAGCCUGAUGCAGCAACGCCGCGUGCGGGAUGACGGCCUUCGGGUUGUAAACCGCUUUCGCCUGUGACGAAGCGUGAGUGACGGUAAUGGGUAAAGAAGCACCGGCUAACUACGUG